ACCACUGGUAGCGGUAAACCUUCUGAGUCAUGCAAGUCGAGCGAACAGACGAGGAGCUUGCUCCUCUGACGUUAGCGGCGGACGGGUGAGUAACACGUGGAUAACCUACCUAUAAGACUGGGAUAACUUCGGGAAACCGGAGCUAAUACCGGAUAAUAUAUUGAACCGCAUGGUUCAAUAGUGAAAGACGGUUUUGCUGUCACUUAUAGAUGGAUCCGCGCCGCAUUAGCUAGUUGGUAAGGUAACGGCUUACCAAGGCAACGAUGCGUAGCCGACCUGAGAGGGUGAUCGGCCACACUGGAACUGAGACACGGUCCAGACUCCUACGGGAGGCAGCAGUAGGGAAUCUUCCGCAAUGGGCGAAAGCCUGACGGAGCAACGCCGCGUGAGUGAUGAAGGUCUUCGGAUCGUAAAACUCUGUUAUUAGGGAAGAACAAAUGUGUAAGUAACUAUGCACGUCUUGACGGUACCUAAUCAGAAAGCCACGGCUAACUACGUGCCAGCAGCCGCGGUAAUACGUAGGUGGCAAGCGUUAUCCGGAAUUAUUGGGCGUAAAGCGCGCGUAGGCGGUUUUUUAAGUCUGAUGUGAAAGCCCACGGCUCAACCGUGGAGGGUCAUUGGAAACUGGAAAACUUGAGUGCAGAAGAGGAAAGUGGAAUUCCAUGUGUAGCGGUGAAAUGCGCAGAGAUAUGGAGGAACACCAGUGGCGAAGGCGACUUUCUGGUCUGUAACUGACGCUGAUGUGCGAAAGCGUGGGGAUCAAACAGGAUUAGAUACCCUGGUAGUCCACGCCGUAAACGAUGAGUGCUAAGUGUUAGGGGGUUUCCGCCCCUUAGUGCUGCAGCUAACGCAUUAAGCACUCCGCCUGGGGAGUACGACCGCAAGGUUGAAACUCAAGGAAUUGACGGGGACCCGCACAAGCGGUGGAGCAUGUGUUUAAUUCGAAGCAACGCGAAGAACCUUACCAAAUCUGACAUCUCUGACCUCUCUAGAAGAUAGAGUUUUCCCUUUCGGGGGACAGAGUGACAGUGGUGCAUGCUGUCGUCAGCUCGUGUCGUGAAGAUGGUGGGUUAAGUCCCGCCACGAGCGCACCUAGCUAGUUGCAUCAUAAGUGGCACUCUAAGUGACUGCGUGACAACUGAGAAGGUGG
rnacentral:rRNA from 1 species